rnacentral:rRNA from 1 species
UGUCGUCAGCUCGUGUCGUGAGAUGUUGGGUUAAGUCCCGCAACGAGCGCAACCCUUGUCAUUAGUUGCUACAUUCAGUUGGGCACUCUAAUGAGACUGCGGUGACAACCGGAAGGAAGGGUAGGGGAUGACGUCAAGUCCUCAUGGCCCUUAUAGGUGGGCUACACACGUCAUACAAUGGAUGGUACAAAGGGUCGCCAACCCGCAGGGGAGCCAAUCCCAUAAAGCCAUUCGUAGUCCGGAUCGCAGUCUGCAACUCGACUGCGUGAAGUCGGAAUCGCUAGUAAUCGUGGAUCAGAAUGUCACGGUGAAUACGUUCCCGGGUCUU